UCAGAAAUCCAGGAUUGCAAAUUUUAGGAUCAUAGUUCUCAAGAUUUCAGAAUUCAGAAUUUAGAGAUUACGAUUUGUGAAUCGUCGUUUUAGAAUUCAGGAUCUCUAGAAUUAUGAAUCCCAGAGUUUCAGAAUUUGGAAUUUUUGAAUUCAAUUUUUAGGAUCUAAGAUUGCAGGAAUGACGAUUUCGGGAACUACAUGUUUAAUAUACAACACUUUAGUACCCGAAAUUUCAAGUUUCAGAGAAAAUUCAGGAUUUCAGGCUUUUAGGAUUAACAUAUUCGAAUUCACUUUUUUAGGAAUUUGCAUUUCCUAUUUCUGGGUUUUAAAAUUCAAGGAUCAUAGUACUCAAGAUUUCAGAAUUCAGAAUUUCGAGAUUACGAUUUGUGAAUCGUCGUUUUAGAAUUCAGGAUCUCUAGAAUUAUGAAUCCCAGAGUUUCAGAAUUUGGAAUUUUUGAAUUCAAUUUUUAGGAUCUAGGAUUGCAGGAAUGACUAUUUCGGGAACUACAUGUUUAAUAUACAACACUUUCGUACCCGAAAUUUCAAGUUUCAGAGAGAAUUCAGGAUUUCAGGCUUUUGGGAUUAACAUAUUCGAAUUCACUUUUUUAGGAAUUUGCAUUUCCUAUUUCUGGGUUUUAAAAUUCAAGGAUCAUAGUACUCAAGAUUUCAGAAUUCAGAAUUUCGAGAUUACGAUUUGUGAAUCGUCGUUUUAGAAUUCAGGAUCUCUAGAAUUAUGAAUCCCAGAGUUUCAGAAUUUGGAAUUUUUGAAUUCAAUUUUCAGGAUCUAGGAUUGCAGGAAUGACUAUUUCGGGAACUACAUGUUUAAUAUACAACACUUUCGUACCCGAAAUUUCAAGUUUCAGAGAGAAUUCAGGAUUUCAGGCUUUUGGGAUUAACAUAUUCGAAUUCACUUUUUUAGGAAUUUGCAUUUCCUAUUUCUGGGUUUUAAAAUUCAAGGAUCAUAGUACUCAAGAUUUCAGAAUUCAGAUUUCGAGAUUAUGAUUUGUGAAUCGGCGUUUUAGAAUUCAGGAUCUCUAGAAUUAUGAAUCCCAGAAUUUCAGAAUUUGGAAUUUUUGUAUUCAAUUUUUAGGAUCUAGGAUUGCAGGAAUGACGAGUUCGGGAACUACAUGUUUAAUAUGCAACACGUGCGUACAUGAAAUUUCAAGUUUCAGAGAGAAUUCAGGAUUUCAGGCUUUUGGGAUUAACAUAUUCGAAUUCACUUUUUUAGGAAUUUGCAUUUCCUAUUUCAGGCUUUUAAAA